rnacentral:piRNA from 1 species
UAACUGAAGGCUCAAGGAAUCCUCCUGC